rnacentral:rRNA from 1 species
GACGUAGGUGGCUAGCGUUAUCCGGAUUUACUGGGCGUAAAGAGUGCGUAGGCGGCCUUUCAAGUCAGAUGUAAAAUCUCCCGGCUCAACUGGGAGCGACCACCUGAUACUGAUCGGCUAGAGUAUAGCAGAGGAAAGCGGAAUUCCCGGUGUAGUGGUGGAAUGCGUAGAUAUCGGGAGGAACACCAGUGGCGAAAGCGGCUUUCUGGGCUGUAACUGACGCUGUUGCACGAAAGCGUGGGGAGCAAACAGG